UACGGAGGGUGCAAGCGUUAUCCGGAUUCACUGGGUUUAAAGGGUGCGUAGGUGGCUUUGUAAGUCAGUGGUGAAAGCCCGGAGCUUAACUCCGGAACUGCCAUUGAUACUGCUUAGCUUGAAUCAAGUAGAGGUGGAUGGAAUAUUACAUGUAGCGGUGAAAUGCUUAGAUAUGUAAUAGAACACCGAUUGCGAAGGCAGUUCACUAUGCUUGUAUUGACACUGAGGCACGAAAGCGUGGGGAUCAAACAGG
rnacentral:rRNA from 1 species